CACGCCGUAAACGAUGAUAACUGGGUUUUUAAUGAAUAUCAUUAAGAGCCUGAGUGAAAGCAUUAAGUUAUCCACCUGGGGAGUACGUUCGCAAGUAUGAAACUCAAAGGAAUUGACGGGGGCCCGCACAAGCGGAGGAACAUGUGGUUUAAUUCGAUGAUACGCGAGGAACCUUACCCGGGCUUAAAUGUAGAUUGCAUAAUUUAGAGAUAAAUUUUUCCGUCAAAAGACUAUCUACAAGGUGC
rnacentral:rRNA from 1 species